UUGUACUUUCCUCUCAAUUUUGCUUUGAACCUAAAACUGUUUUUAAAAAUAAUAUACAUUUUUUUAAUCCAGCAGGUAGCUGUGGAUAAUUUCUGAAUAGCCAAAGUGAUUGGUCAUCAUUACCAGACCUACAUAGUAUGUCCAAACUUGUGUUCUGGGGUCCACUGAUCCUGAAGUUCCCUCACAGUCCAGUUUGAAGA
rnacentral:lncRNA from 1 species